rnacentral:lncRNA from 1 species
CUUCCUCUUCUUUACCAUCCACUGUACAGGACUGAGGACAGUGUGGACGAUAUGGAGGUAUCUGUUACGAAUACCGGGAAAAAAAGGCCAAAAACGGUCAAAUGUUGAUGCCUUUGAUGCUUAGGAGCAGAAUAAGGUCCAGAUCGUGUCAGGCUCGGUGGACCUCCAAGGGACGUCUCACAUUGGAAACCCCUUGGUGGUGCUGGAGUCGUGUGCGGAUGUGGAGACUUCGCUUGCUCCAAUGGCCGACUCCGAGCGGGACACAGAGAACGCAUGGUCUAAGUAACUUCAGAAAGGACAUGACAGUGGAGACCUGUGUGGUUUGAGCAUCCCUCAAGGAACUUUCUCAACUGAUUGCUGAGAGAGGUAUGCUAACCACCGUGGGAAAGGAGCACAGUGCCAAGACUGGAUUAACGGAAAAACAUCGCCUGACACAGCAUCCACCAUCAUGCAUAAUCGGAUGGUCUUCAUUCCUCAGAAGAAAACUUUUGUUACCUCUUCUAGUCAUCAAUGAUCAAGGAAUGGUAUGGAGAUGGAAUACAGAUGUGAGAAUCGCUCUCAGUGUUCGGUGUGAUCACCCAAUCCAAGGCAGGGCGAUUCAUAAAUGA